GGGACCGUGGUGUAGGGGUAAGCGUGGUUGCCUCUCACCCAGUCGGAUUGGGUUCGAUUCCAAGCGGUCCCG
rnacentral:tRNA from 1 species